GUGCUUGCUCCAGCAGCACAUAUAUUAAAAUGAGAACAAUACAGAGAAGAUUAGCAUGGCCCCUUUGUAAGGAUGACAUGCAAAUUUGUGAAACGUCCCAUAUUUUG
ensembl:snRNA U6 U6 spliceosomal RNA